rnacentral:rRNA from 1 species
CGCGGCCUAUCAGCUUGUUGGUGAGGUAAUGGCUCACCAAGGCGACGACGGGUAGCCGGCCUGAGAGGGCGACCGGCCACACUGGGACUGAGACACGGCCCAGACUCCUACGGGAGGCAGCAGUGGGGAAUAUUGGGCAAUGGAGGAAACUCUGACCCAGCGACGCCGCGUGAGGGAUGAAGGCCUUCGGGUUGUAAACCUCUUUCAGUAGGGAAGAAGCGAAAGUGACGGUACCUACAGAAGAAGCACCGGCUAACUAUGUGCCAGCAGCCGCGGUAAUACAUAGGGUGCAAGCGUUGUCCGGAAUUAUUGGGCGUAAAGAGCUCGUAGGUGGUUCGAUACGUCGGAUGUGAAAAUCAGGGGCUCAACCCCUGACCUGCAUCCGAUACGGUCGAGCUAGAGUUUGGUAGGGGAGACUGGAAUUCCUGGUGUAGCGGUGGAAUGCGCAGAUAUCAGGAGGAACACCGAUGGCGAAGGCAGGUCUCUGGGCCAAUACUGACACUGAGGAGCGAAAGCGUGGGGAGCGAACAGGAUUAGAUACCCUGGUAGUCCACGCCGUAAACGGUGGGCGCUAGUUGUGCGAACCUUCCACGGUUUGUGCGACGCAGCUAACGCAUUAAGCGCCCCGCCUGGGGAGUACGG